rnacentral:rRNA from 1 species
AGCGAACGCUGGCGGCAGGCCUAACACAUGCAAAUCGAACGAAGUCUUCGGACUUAGUGGCGGACGGGUGAGUAACACGUGGGAACGUGCCUUUAGGUUCGGAAUAACUCAGGGAAACUUGUGCUAAUACCGAAUGUGCCCCUCGGGGGAAAGAUUUAUCGCCUUUAGAGCGGCCCGCGUCUGAUUAGCUAGUUGGUGGGGUAAUGGCCCACCAAGGCUACGAUCAGUAGCUGGUCUGAGAGGAUGACCAGCCACGUUGGGACUGAGACACGGCCCAAACUCCUACGGGAGGCAGCAGUGGGGAAUCUUGCGCAAUGGGCGAAAGCCUGACGCAGCCAUGCCGCGUGGAUGAUGAAGGUCUUAGGAUUGUAAAAUCCUUUCACCGGUGAAGAUAAUGACUGUAGCCGGAGAAGAAGCCCCGGCUAACUUCGUGCCAGCCGCCGCCGUAACAC